GUGUCAGCAGCCGCGGUAACACGUAGGAUCCGAGCGUUAUCCGAAUUUACUGGGCGUAAAGCGCGUGCAGGCGGUUUGGUAAGUUGGACGUGAAAUCUCCCGGCUCAACUGGGAGGGGUCGUUCAAGACUGCCAGACUAGAGGGCAGUAGAGGGAGGCGGAAUUCCCGGUGUAGUGGUGAAAUGCGUAGAUAUCGGGAGGAACACCAGUGGCGAAAGCGGCCUCCUGGGCUGCACCUGACGCUCAGACGCGAAAGCUAGGGGAGCGAACGGGAUUAGAUACCCGCGUAGUCC
rnacentral:rRNA from 1 species